CUAUGCAAGUCAGAAUCACCUCCAUCCACCUCCAGCCUUUAUGAGACCCAGGACGUGGUACAGCUCCCAUGGGGAACAUCAGUUCUGUCUCUACCAAGGAUGCAGAGAAAGACAAGCCUCCAGGCUUCUCCAGUUUAAGAUCAUCAUGGUAGCUGGCACCUCUGGAAGCCACAAGUGUGUCGAGGCUGAGGACCACGUGGCUCUCACUUUGUGUUUGUGGAAAUAACUUGAGGAGGAUGACACUUCACUGUACCCUCAAGUCUUCUGGAGCGGCUGACUCCUUCCGCACCUUCUUUACAUGGUGUGGAACUACUCUGAAUUAUGAGAAGCGGCACGUGUACUCGAAAAUGUACAUGGAACUGCAGUCGUGAAGCUGUACCUGUGACACAGGGCGCAAGAGAAUGUGCUCAUGUGAACACAAGUGAAGGACAUGGUGGGGACUUGCCACACAGGUAAUUUUGGAUUUUUUCUCUUCACAACUUAAGUUUCAGGGCAUGUUUUCUAUGACAAAUAUGUCACCUCUUAUAGUUUACAGUAUUUAUACCCAGGGCACACCUGAAAGAAUUUUGGACAGCACAUUUACCAAAAAAAAGAUGGAAUGCUGAUGGGUAUGAAAUUUACUUUGUCUAAGACCAUUCUAAAUGAUGCCUACAUAAAUAUAAGUUGGAGUGAAGGCAGUUCUCAUUUUCAAACUGUAAGGAUACCCACAGAUUUUUCUGAACACGUGAAAACCCUUGAUAGAAAGAAACAGGAGAGGAAGAAACAGCAAAAGCAAUGAUUUCACACUGAGAAGAUCUGGAAAGAAUGAGGCAAGGUAGGAGACUUCCAAGUGGAGUGUGGUGUCAUCCUCCUUGAUUUAUUCCGGGAACACGUUGGAAAAGCCCUAUGGUUCUCACCCUUAAGCACGCUUAGCUUCUAAAGGUACCACAAAGAGAUGCCAGCUGGAAAACAGGGAAGCCUGUAGACUCAGGGGUAAAGGUUGUGCAUUUGGGGGGGGAAAAAAAGCACCCAUACCAUAUGGCACUCAAACCAGAGACAGUGGCAGGAGAGUGUGCUGCACAGAAAGAUGCGGCUCUCUGAAAAGACAUAGAACUGAAAAUGCCACAGCAUUUACCUUAUGCUUCUUGGCAGUUUUGGUAGAGCCAGUGUUGAUGUCACUCUUGGGAGUGACACCUGCUUCUGGAUCUGCUAAAGGCCCUAGAAGGGAUGGAGGUUUAUUUUGAUUUGAGUAGACUGUUUAGAGAUCAAAAACAAAAACAAAAAAAAAACCCUCCCUUCAUUCUUCUGACAACUUAAACUCUUUGCUCCAGUCAGAUCCCAAAUCAGAUGCAGAGGGUGUCCCACAUGCCUCAGGUGAUCCCCAAGAAGAACUUGAAGAACCAUCCCUUAUAACCUAAUGAAGACUCCCAAAAGCCCUGAUUCAGAUGUAUUCCUCACUCAUCGAACAACUAUAGAUGGCUGGGGGCACAACUAGAUGGACAUACGUUACGUUGUGCCUCAUGCCUCACAGAUCCCAGCAAAUGGACUGUGUAUAGGGCAUCACUGCUGAACCUCUAUGUCUGCUUUUCUGCACACGGCCCCAUUCCUUCCCCACAAGAGACGCCUAUACCAACACAUGGUGGGGGAACUGGCAAAGAUGAUAUGUUGAGCAUGAGAAACUUGAGGAAUGUGGUAAUGGAAGCAGACACAUUCCCCUUGUAUCACAAUGGUCUGUGGCACUGCCCCUGCACCUUGGCCAAAGACCUAACACCAACAAAAAUAAGAUGAGUGUGUUUUACAAGUCAACUUCUAGUGCUCAGAUCAUCUUACCAAGUGUCGCAGGUGGAGGGGUUUGGGGUGACCCCAGGGCCACCAAGGUUCAGGAGGUGGAUGUGCCUAAUAGUCCAUGGGGGCGGGGCGCCUGUAGGGUAGGGCAUGCAAAAUCGUCCAGUUAACAGAGGAGGUCCCCAGGAUCCAGACUGCCCUGCAGAACAGAAGUGACAGCUACAUUCAUAUGCCAGACAAGAGAACAAAUAUCAAAACCAGAGAAGAAUGUGUUCGCACCUGCCACCUUCUCUGCCACCAGGAUCCAAGAGAGUAGCAUCAGUACCUGAAAGCUCCAUCCCUGCUACUGGAUACCACCUACAGCUUGGGAUAGUAGAUGCAAGAGGUUAACCUACUGCCACCACUCAUCACUGCCCAUGUCUGCAGAAGUAAAAUGGCAAGGGUCCUGUCCUAGAGGGUUAACAGAAGUAAUUACAGACUAAUGAAGUAGCAUUCUUUGGACAGGCAGCCAUCGAUGUCCAGGUUCACCCUGCAUCCCUCCUCUAUGGCUACUCCAGAUGCUCUGUUUUUGGUAUGUUAAGAACACAAAAAAAUGAGUGGGAAUAAAUGGCUCAUAUUCUGCUCAUGGAAUCAUAGCCACUCCUGGUGAAAAGUUCUGCAGCCGGACCCUCACUUUGCCUCCUCUGCUUCUCUCCCUGAGAAAGGAGUCUUCCUUCCUGAAGUGUUGUCAAAGGCCUCUGAGACCUCUGGGGAGUGGAGGAUGCCUGGAAUCUUGCAGGGGAAUGAGAGUCUUCUGUGACGAAUAAGUUACUUAUGAAUGUCUACAAAGCUCAGAUGUGUUCAUCUUAAUUCAUAGGGAAUUCUGACUUUAAGCAUACUACAGGACACAGAGUAAUUAUGCCCAACAGAAAAAAGAGGUAGAAAUUCACAUAACAGAUUUAAAGCAAGUGUUUUGGUAUAAAACUCCUGGUAUGUGUCAUGAGACUGUAUCAGCUCUAACAGUGACUGGGGACACAACCAGAAACUGCUCAUAUAAACAUAAUUGAAGGACACAGUGUUCAAACUAUUUUUACCUAAGGUAUAGCUGGAAGGAUUCCAGACAACUCAUUUACCAACAAAGAUGGGAAGGUGAUGCGUGAUGACACUGACUUUAUCUAAGACCACUCUAAAUGGUACAGGGCACAAAAUAUAAAGUUGGAGUCAUGAUGUCGUUUUGCACUUUCGAAUUUUAAACAAUAUGGCAGACUUUCUAACAGGUUAAUCUCCUAGCCAGAAUCAAGAAAGGAAGACACAGCAGCCACACUGUUCCCACAGAGGUGAGGUCUGGAAGGGGUCACGCAGCCCAGGAGACUUCUGUUUGGAGUGUGGGGUCAUCCUCCUCUUAUUUCCUGAACCACACGGAAAAACCUUAAGGCAGCCUCUUUGCUUCCAUCCUGUCCAGUCUUGGAUACAGAAAAAUAAUGGACUUCUAUAAGAAGUGGUGCAACACCACAUCGUCUACUAGACAACAAACAGUGCACACAUCAUCCCUGGAAACACCCAUAAAAACGCAAGUCAAAUGACCACACCUGUAUUUCAAGUUUCCCAGGGUUGCAAAGACGAGAGCCAUGGAAUGGCACUACCAUGUUGAUGGUUAUGAUUCAUCGUACAACACACUGCUCUCCUAUAGAUUAUGACAAUUGACACCACCCCCAAGGAAUGUUGGCAUGGACAAAGUUUCUACACAGUCUGGCUAUUGCUUGAGAUCUGCAAAUGUUUAAAAACCUAAUUGUUUUGUUCUUUCUAAAACUUACCUUUUUUAUCUGUUAAUACUCUAUGUAUAUGAUCUCUGAAUUUUUGUUUAUAUUACUAAGUUGAGUCUAAACAUUGUAAAAAGAUUAAAAACAAAAAAAUGAACAGAGGUUUCAUGA